rnacentral:rRNA from 1 species
CAUUAUAUCAGUCUUAGUUUAUUAGAAAUAUUUUACUACUUGGAUAACCGUAGUAAUUCUAGGGCUAAUACAUGAGUAAAACCUCAACUUCGGAAGAGGUGUGUUUAUUAGUAUGAAAACCAUAUAUCUUCGGAUAUAAUAGUGAGUAAUAAUAACCUUUCAUAUCGUAUGUCGUAAGAUAACGAUAGUUCUUUCAAGUUUCUGCCCUAUCAGCUUUCGAUGGUAGUAUAUGGGACUACCAUGGCAGUAACGGGUAACGAAGAAUUUGGGUUCGAUUUCGGAGAGGGAGCCUGAGAGAUGGCUACCACAUCCAAGGAAGGCAGCAGGCGCGUAAAUUACCCAAUCCUGACAUAGGGAGGUAGUGACAAUAAAUCACAAUGCGGAACUUUUAGUUUUGCAAUUGGAUUGAGAACAAUGUACAAAUGUUAUCGAUAAACAA